rnacentral:rRNA from 1 species
GACGAACGCUGGCGGCGUGCUUAACACAUGCAAGUCGAACGGAAAGGCCCUGCUUGCAGGGUACUCGAGUGGCGAACGGGUGAGUAACACGUGGGUGAUCUGCCCUGCACUUCGGGAUAAGCCUGGGAAACUGGGUCUAAUACCGGAUAGGAGCCAUUUUUAGUGUGAUGGUUGGAAAGUUUUUUCGGUGUAGGAUGAGCUCGCGGCCUAUCAGCUUGUUGGUGGGGUAAUGGCCUACCAAGGCGGCGACGGGUAGCCGGCCUGGGAGGGUGGACGGCCACAUUGGGACUGAGAUACGGCCCAGACACCUACGGGAGGCAGCAGGGGGGAAGAUUGCACAAGGGGCGCAAGCCUGAUGCAGCGACGCCGCGGGGGGGAUGACGGCCUUCGGGUUGUAAAAUCCUUUCGCUAGGGACGAAGCUUUUUGUGACGGUACCUAGAUAAGAAGCACCGGCUAACUACGUG